rnacentral:snRNA from 10 species
GAAUGUAAGGGCAAUCUGGCUGCAAUAUCUGUCACCCUACUGAUCACCAGGGUUGAUUUGGCUAAUCUGGCUGGCUAGGAAGGUGUCCCCUUCCUCCCUCACGGCUCCAUGUGCGUCCCUCCGGAAGCUGUGUGCUCAGUCAAAGGGGACGACCAUCCCCAACAGAGGAGGACUGGUCUUCGGUCAAGGGUAUAUGAGUAGCUGCACUCCCCUACCAGAACCUCCAUUCAAGCUCUCAAAAAAUACGGGAAAAACAUUAGCUGCUUGGGAGGCUGAGGUGGGAGCCUGAGCCCAGAGAAGUUGAGUGAGCCAUGAUUGUGUCACUGCACUCCAGCCUGGGAAACAGUGAGACCUUGUC